rnacentral:lncRNA from 1 species
UAAAAGACUAAGCCAAAGGGGAUAGUUUUUCAGAUCUAUUUUCACCAGGUCUAAGUCUUCUAGUUCUAGUCAUCUCUAUUCUCUGAAUCUCUCAUCUAGAUCUGAAACUGAGAAGUGAGAGAGAGACCGAGGCAAGUACGGAGAGUCCAGUCUGAAAGAGUGAGAGACCGAGAGCGCACGCCGAGCGCACGUCCAGUCUGUGGUCUGUGGUCUGUGUAGCUUCUUCAAUUCUUCUUCUCUACAGGUAGUUUUCUCUUCGUGGAAGGAUUUUGUUCUAUGGUUUGAUUUUGUUCUAUGAUUUCAGUCUACGAUUUUGUAUUUUUGUUCUAUCUUUUAUUUGGCUGCUGUCGCCUAUUUUGUUAUUGGAUGAAAUCUUUUGUUGGGGUUAUCAGUUAUGGGCCUCUUGAGUAUCAUCAUUUUGUGAGCAUCGAUACCAAUAUAUACACUGUUCAGAUGCAUUCAAGUAUUCAACCUCCUAUGACCUAUCUUACAGUCUUACUAAUCUUUCUAUUGUUAUUCUGUUUGUUCUAUUUUUUUUAAAAUUUAUGUUCUUAAUUUAUUUUGUAAUUCUACCUGAAGUAUUGGAAGCUGCAGGGGUUAAGUUCAAUGGCUGAAAUCAAGUAUAUGAACUGCAUGAAUUAGAGAUAUAGAUUAGAUAUUCCUUGAAAUUACAUUUCUGGAAUCAUUAUCUUUUGUAAAAGUUCAUUUCUGGAAUCAUUACAUUUCUGCAGGCUGCAGGGGUUAAUUUCUUUUUUCGUGUUAAAUACUGAAAUGGAUUGACAGAGUAAGUACUUCAUUUUUUAUGGACUAUUUCUUUGAUUUUUCAAGUACUAAGAAAAUGUAGAAUACUAGAAUUGAAUGCUUUGUUAAAUAGCAUUGUGAAUUUGUGAUUUACAUUUGAAUUGGAUUGUUGAAGUUUGAAUUGGAUUAUUGAAUUAUUGAAGUUUGCCAUGCUUGUACUGUUUUUAUUAGGCCUAUUUUCAUUUGCAUUUGCAGGAUCUGUUUUGAUUUUGCAGGAUCUGUGAAACAUUUAUCAAAUGGUUUAAUAGGUGUUUGAUAUGAUAAGCAUAUUCAUUGUUAUAUAGUUCAUCUAAUCAUUGUUGUAGUUAUACUGUUAGCAUCUUCUAAAGUCAAAUGAACAUGUAAUUGGAAAUAUAGGGUAAUUACCAUCAUAUUUGAUUUCAAUAUGAUCUCGCAGUAAGAUAAUACCAAUUUUCUUUAUUGUUACUAUGUGACUGACAUCUUACUUUAAAUUGGAGUUUUUUUUUGACAUUUUGAAGAUGUUGAAUAUGCAAUAAGUUAAUAUGUAAAAGGCCCUAAUAAAUUAAGUAUACUUGCACGAGAGUUAAGACUAAUGAGCUUAUGAAUUUACCAUGUUUUUAAUCUAAAUUCUUCCUAUACUGACUACCUGCAUUGAACUUGCUUAUUUCAGCCGUAUGAUUAGGUUGAGCAAUCUGACCGAAAUUUUUGUAUAUAAUAAUAAUAUCUUUCUUUUAAUAGUUACUUGCAUUUGAUUUCAUUUUUCAUUUUGCAUUUGCAUUUGCAUUUGCAUUUGCAGGAUCUGUUUUCAUUUUUCAUUUUGCAUUUUGCAUUUUGCAUUUGCAUUUGCAUUUGCGGGAUCUGUUUUGCAUUUGCAUUUGCAUUUGCUUUAGGAUCUAUUUUGCAAUUGAUUAUGACACAUUUAUAAAUCUUUUUGCACAGGAUGUCAAAUGUCAAGCCAUUUUUUCACUAGCAGAUGGAGAUGGGAUUGCAAGUAUGCAUUUGGAGCUUAUUUAUGUUGAUGGUGAUUGGUGACAUGUCAAAUGAAAUGAAUAGUCUUGAUGUCUUGGUUUGAAUUUGUGUACUUUAUCAUUUAUCAAUCAUUGUAUGUAAAUUGUAAUAUGUUACACUAUUACAGCAACUGAACUUUCCCUAGAAAGAAAGUGGAGACAGUCAGACAUGAGAGAAUGAUUGAUUAAAAUUUAAAUAUUAUUGUGAAUUUGUGAUGUACAGGUUUUUUAAUUAAAAAAAAAAAUUAAUAAAAAGGCCCGCGGGCCCGGUCUAGCCCGGGCCACGAGCCGCUUAAUUUCAG